rnacentral:lncRNA from 10 species
CUUGAAUUAUAGUUCCCAUAAUCCCCAUAUGUCGUGAGAGGGACUCAGUGGGAGGUAAUUGAAUCAUGAGGGCAGUUACCCUUAUGCUGUUCUUGUGAGUGAGUUCUCAGGACAUCUGAUAGUUUUAUGAAGGGCUUUUCCCUCUUUGCUCAGCACUUCUCCUUGCUGCUGCCAUAUGAAGAAGGAUGUGUUUGCUUCCCCAUCUGCCAUGAUUGUAAGUUUCCUGAGGCCUCUCCAGCCAUGCUGAACUAAUGCAUGCGAUUUGUUAAUCAUGAUGGAGAUCUCAGAUGCUUUUGAAGAGGCUGAACUGAUAUGAGAAAGUCUUAACCAGUUGUUGCUUCUUUGAAGAAGAAGGAAGGGGCCACAAGCCAAGGAAUGUGGUGGCAUCUAGACACUGGAAAAAGCAAGAAAAUGAAUUCUCCACUAAAGCAUCCAGAAACACAGCUCUAAAGAUCCCCAGUUUUAGUCCAGUAUGACCCAUGUUGGACUUCUAAACCAUAGAAUUGUAAGAUACUAAAUUUAUGCUGUUUUAAACCAUUAUGUUCAUGAUAAUUUGUUACAGUAGCCAUAGAAAUCUAAUAAAAUUGAGAUACUUCUUUCCAUUUGAUUUAUU